UACGUAGGGUGCAAGCGUUGUCCGGAAUUAUUGGGCGUAAAGAGCUCGUAGGCGGUCUGUUGCGUCGGCUGUGAAAACCCGGGGCUCAACCCCGGGCCUGCAGCCGAUACGGGCAGACUAGAGUUCGGCAGGGGAGACUGGAAUUCCUGGUGUAGCGGUGAAAUGCGCAGAUAUCAGGAGGAACACCGGUGGCGAAGGCGGGUCUCUGGACCGAUACUGACGCUGAGGCGCGAAAGCGUGGGGAGCAAACAGG
rnacentral:rRNA from 1 species